UAGGGAAUCUUCGGCAAUGGACGAAAGUCUGACCGAGCAACGCCGCGUGAGUGAAGAAGGUUUUCGGAUCGUAAAACUCUGUUGUUAGAGAAGAACAAGGACGUUAGUAACUGAACGUCCCCUGACGGUAUCUAACCAGAAAGCCACGGCUAACUACGUGCCAGCAGCCGCGGUAAUACGUAGGUGGCAAGCGUUGUCCGGAUUUAUUGGGCGUAAAGCGAGCGCAGGCGGUUUCUUAAGUCUGAUGUGAAAGCCCCCGGCUCAACCGGGGAGGGUCAUUGGAAACUGGGAGACUUGAGUGCAGAAGAGGAGAGUGGAAUUCCAUGUGUAGCGGGGAAAUGCGUAGAUAUAUGGAGGAAAACCAGUGGCGAAGGCGGCUCUCUGGUCUGUAACUGACGCUGAGGCUCGAAAGCGUGGGGAGCAAACAGG
rnacentral:rRNA from 1 species